rnacentral:rRNA from 1 species
UCUCAGUUCAGAUUGCAGGCUGCAACUCGCCUGCGUGAAGUCGGAAUCGCUAGUAAUCGCGGAUCAGCAUGCCGCGGUGAAUACGUUCCCGGGCCUUGUACACACCGCCCGUCACACCAUGAGAGUCGGGAACACCCAAAGUCCGUAGUCUAACCGCAAGGAGGACGCGGCCUAAGGUGGGUUCGAUAAUUGGGGUGAAGUCGUAACAAGGUAUC